ACAACACUGAGAGCGUCGCCAUAUUGAGUUUGUCAAUCGUCGUGAGAGAAAACCGAAGCCGCCCAAGCACUGGAAGCAUCGGAAACACCCCGUACGGGCAGUGUGCGAUGGCAGGGCCGCGGUGUUUUCCGCCUUCCGACCAUAGAAUGUGGACAAACAGCCUGACUAACUUGCCUCCGCUAUCGGACGAAACUCUCGGGGGCCUUUGCACGAUGGCGACAACCUCGUCAAAGCAGCGGAGCAAGUCCUACGUCUUCGCUGUGGAAGCCUACACAGUGCCGUCUUCCGUGCGGACGAACAUCUGCGAUUCAAGCCUUGGGAUCGUCUACGGCCGAGCGGUGUGCUACCGGAGCCAGAAAAAAACUGGUCUGCCCUACAACGUCCUCCUGGCGUUCAAGGCUGACAGCGGUGAAGUUACAGAAUCAAAAUGCGCGUGUCCUGCUGGUGCAGGGGGUGCGUGCAGCCAUAUACUUGCUGUUCUACGGCUGUUUAUUUUGUUGAAGAAAGAGGGAUUUAAAGAGGCACCGCCUGAGCUCUCAUGCACAGAACUUCCCCAACAAUGGGGGCGCCCUCGCCGACAAGGCAUCAAGCCGAUGAGCGUCCAGGAUGUAGACUGGAGGAGUUCUCGGGAGGGUGGCAUGGAGAUGGCAAUGCCAGUGCAGCUCUACGAUGCACGAGCUGAGAAGCAGGAGGACGAACAACAACUGCAGUCUUUUCAUGCACUAGGAAGGGGCCUCGAGAACAUUGGAAACUCUGACUUCGCGUCAGUUCUCCUAGCAGCACGAAGGCAGUCUGUGGAAACAAAACUCGGACCUGCCCCUGCCGGCUCUCCAAUGUCCUACCAGCAAGCUCAACUACCUGCAGGCUUCACAACAUGGAUGUCUGACAACAUUGUCAUGGGAGCAGGCACCAUCAGCUUAGUUCCAGUACCGUCUUUCUUCAACAGAGCUUCAGAGCCAACAUUCCCUGGCGGGUUGAGCGCUCAAGAAUUGAGCAUAUUGACAGAAAUCCAGCUUUCACCAGAGGAGGCGAGAGACCUGGAGCGUAAUACCAGGCAGCAGCGACACAGUCAACGCUGGAAGAAAGCACGGCUGAACAGACUAACUGCAUCGCGUUUCGGAUGUGUCAUCACACGCAAAGAGUGGACGGAGAAGGGCCUCAAGAACCUAAUUGAGCCAAAGGACCUGACACGCGUUCGUGCUGUUCAGUACGGGAUAAGAAACGAAAGCAUGGCCAAGGACCGGUAUGUUGCUGUGAUGAAGAACUAUGGACACAAUGUGUCAAUUCAGCCCAACGGCCUAUUUGUAGAUCCAUCAUGCCCCUGGCUAGGUGCAACGCCCGACGGACUAGUCUAUGACCCAGAAGAGCUGUCGUACGGUAUUCUAGAAGUCAAGUGCCCACAUUCUCUCAAAGACAGUGAGCCAGACUAUGCAAAGAAACAAAAGUUUUCUCUAGUUUUUGGAGAGAAUGACAAGCCACAGCUAGACAGAGACCACGAUCACUAUGCCCAGGUUGUGGGGCAGAUGGCUCUGACUGGCUGUUUGUGGGGAGACUACGUUGCUUGCUCGGAGAAAUGGAUCGGCGUCGACCGUAUUCGAUUUGAUCAAAAUGAAUGGCUCGAAAUGCGCAAAAAGCUGGACAGCUUUUUCUUUGCAUACAACCUUCCCUAUCUUGUCAGGAGGCAGGACACGUGCUAGUGUCUAAAACAAAAGGCAAUGGGUAAAAGCCACUUGGAGAGUGGAAAUGCUUUCCUCACAUUCCUAAGUAGCACACUUGACCGGCGUAAGCUAGAGCCAUACCUGGCCCAAGCUUGCGCCGGUCAAGUGUCCUACUUGGGUUAUGUACACAUUGCGACAUUGUUAGCGCAAACACAACAUAACUGCAUUUUCUCAUUUACUUCGAACGAGUAUUAGUGGGGUGCAAAAUUUUACCGCCUACAUUAUAGCCCUAAUUGAUCCCUUUCCAUUAAAUAAAAACUAAUUACACUGUUUCGAUUUCAAAAGGAAAAAAAAUGUGAUAGCUUUUUUGCGCUAACAACGUCGCACUCUGUACGGCACCAUACAUUUCAGCACUAUCGUUAUGGGCUGUAAAGGUGCCCUGGUGUUGCCGUGUAGGUGGAACCUUACGGAUUGCUGUGUUUGCAGUAGUUAUUGCUUUCCAACGUUCAUUUCCAAGCUGUCUAGUGAGAGGUGUUAGUGCUAAAGAUGUUGAGUUACAUACAUUUCUGGAUCUGCAUGUUGGUGAUAUUCACUAGUCGCAGCUACCGCUGUAAUGAGCAGACACUACUGCUAAACUGAAAGUGACAUUUUGUACUAAAUUUUAUUUUGUUCACAUUCAAUAUGGAACCGACAGAUAAAGAAGAAUCAGGAGCGCC